rnacentral:rRNA from 1 species
GAUGAACGCUGGCGGCGCGCCUAAUACAUGCAAGUCGAGCGAACUGAUUAGAAGCUUACUUCUAUGACGUUAGCGGCGGACGGGUGAGUAACACGUGGGCAACCUGCCUGUAAGACUGGGAUAACUUCGGGAAACCGAAGCUAAUACCGGAUAGGAUCUUCUCCUUCAUGGGAGAUGAUUGAAAGAUGGUUUCGGCUAUCACUUACAGAUGGGCCCGCGGUGCAUUAGCUAGUUGGUGAGGUAACGGCUCACCAAGGCAACGAUGCAUAGCCGACCUGAGAGGGUGAUCGGCCACACUGGGACUGAGACACGGCCCAGACUCCUACGGGAGGCAGCAGUAGGGAAUCUUCCGCAAUGGACGAAAGUCUGACGGAGCAACGCCGCGUGAGUGAUGAAGGCUUUCGGGUCGUAAAACUCUGUUGUUAGGGAAGAACAAGUACGAGAGUAACUGCUCGUACCUUGACGGUACCUAACCAGAAAGCCACGGCUAACUACGUGCCAGCCGCCGCAGUAAGAC